rnacentral:rRNA from 1 species
AUUGAACGCUGGCGGCAGGCCUAACACAUGCAAGUCGAGCGGAUGAAGGGAGCUUGCUCCUGGAUUCAGCGGCGGACGGGUGAGUAAUGCCUAGGAAUCUGCCUGGUAGUGGGGGAUAACGUCCGGAAACGGGCGCUAAUACCGCAUACGUCCUGAGGGAGAAAGUGGGGGAUCUUCGGACCUCACGCUAUCAGAUGAGCCUAGGUCGGAUUAGCUAGUUGGUGGGGUAAAGGCCUACCAAGGCGAGGAUCCGUAACUGGUCUGAGAGGAUGAUCAGCCACACUGGAACUGAGACACGGUCCAGACUCCUACGGGAGGCAGCAGUGGGGAAUAUUGGACAAUGGGCGAAAGCCUGAUCCAGCCAUGCCGCGUGUGUGAAGAAGGUCUUCGGAUUGUAAAGCACUUUAAGUUGGGAGGAAGGGCAGUAAGUUAAUACCUUGCUGUUUUGACGUUACCAACAGAAUAAGCACCGGCUAACUUCGUG